UAUUUGAUCUACCUUUGGUUACAAGGUUACCCCCGAGCGACGCAUUCCCAGUUCUCCCAAUGAAUUACUUUAAUUAAUCGAGUAAACUUGCGCAUCUGCAAAUUAAUGAGACACUAAAUCUGUCUGCAAAAUCACUGAUGCCCCAUUAGUGCUGAUCUGACUCAGAUCAAUACAAACUGUGUUUUGCUAGUCACUCAUUUGCUGUCACCUGCCAUUAAACUUUCCGGAUGUUGUGGACGCCCUCCAAGGUGAAGUAGCAGUUCCUUUCCUCCUUGUCAUCGUCGAAGAUGAAAAGCGCCGUCUUCCAACCGAAGUGAUGGAACAUCGCGGAGAAGGUCUCCGCCAUCUUCAGGUAACAGGAGGAGCGAGACGUAGACACAGCAUUGCAACAGACAUGACAGGUUUGCACUUAGA